AAAAUGUGUUAAACCCAAUACCAUCCCUAGCUAACAAUACCAGUGGUCAGGGAUGAUGGGAGUUGUGGUCCCAAAACAUCUGGAGGGCCAGGUUUGCCUAUACCUGUCUUAGAGCCUCCAUAGUUUGCCCUUCCUUUUUUUCUUAGUAACUAUGAUGCAUCUAUCCUGUGAUGGGUUUGUCUGAGAUCAGGUAGUCCCUAGAUUUUAUUUUCUCCAAAUACUACCACACAAUAAGUGGGUGUGGAUGUUAAAGAAUCCCCCUUUCCCCCAAAAUAGCAAAUGUGAAAACUUUAAUGUUGAUUCUUGCUCUGGGAUUGUGUGGACAAUGAUGAUGAGGUUAUAAGUAAUUUAGAAAAACAAAUAGUAUAUAUUAGCAAUAGUUGGGGCAUAAUACCAAUAGCAAUAGUUGGGGCAUAACUACCUGACAUUCAGAAUACAUCUCAAGGCAGCCCUGUUCAGGGAAGUUUUUAAUGUGUAACAUUUUAGUGUAUUUUUGGUUUUUGUGGAAGCUGCCCAGAGUGGCUGUGGAAACCCAGCCAGAUGGGUGGGGUACAAAUAAUAAAUUAUUAUUAUUAUUAUUAUUAUUAAGUGUCUGCAUACCCUCCAACAUUUCUCUGAUGAAAAUAGGGCUGUCCUAAGGAAAAGUGGGACAUUCCAGGAUCAAAUCUGAAACUGGGAAGAGCUUCUGUAAAUCCAGGACUGUCCCUGGAAAAUAGGGAGACUUGGAGGGUCUGUGUCUGCCACUAUGGAAGGGAUUGCUGUGUCUCAACCACUGCUGACAGAUAUCUUCUGAUUCUACUACCUUUGCAGAAUGAUUUUGAGAUUACCAGAUUGUAAUGUAUACAGAACAAAAGAAGCAAUUAUUUGCAAAGUGCUGUUUCAGAGCAGUGAUUUGCUUGCAAGUCCCCCCCUUUCCCAUUGCAUUUUAAGUGCCUUUGCUUGCCCUAAUGUAUAAUGCCCUAUCAAGGGUUUCAAGUAGGUCCUUUAUCCUCUAUCUAUCAUCUAUAUAUAUAUAUAUAUAGAGAGAGAGAGAGAGUGUGAAGCACAGAGUCAUCAAAGGUAUAUCAUUGAUAUGGGACAUGGGUGACACUGUGGUCUAAACCAUUGCGCCUCUUGGGCUUGCUGAUCAGAAGGUUGGCGGUUUGAAUCUGCUCAACGGGAUGAGCUCCCAUUCCUCUGUCCCAGCUCCUGCCAACCUAGCAGUUCGAAAGCACACCAGUGUGAGUAGAUAAAUAGAUAUUGCUGCAGCAGGAAGGUAAACGGCACUUCCAUGCGCUCUAGCACUUGUCAUGAUGUCCCGUUGCACCAGAAGCGGUUUAAUCAUACUGGCAACAUGACCUGGAAAGCUUUCUGUGGACAAAUGCCAGCUCCCUCGGCCUGAAAGUGAGAUGAGCACCACACCCCAUAGUCUCCUUUGACUGGACUUAACUGUUUAGGGGUCCUUUACCUUUUCCCUUUACCUUUUACCAUUGAUAUGCAGUGAUGGUGAGAGAUGAGGAAAAGAACUCCAGUAUCAAGUAGCUUUGGUUUCUAUGCGGGCUUGAGGUGGUGGUUUGUCUUAAAUUUAAUGUGCCUUCGAAGUUGGCAGUCAUUUGUGUGCUUAUCUCCCAAUAUCUUAUGUAUCUAAAAUUGGAUUUUUGAGUACAAAGCUGACAUGUUAUGUAUAGUUGCAUAUAAAAUAUUCAUUCUCAAACUCUUGCUGACACAAUGCUUUCAUUCUCCAUGGGUCUUGUGGAAUGUGGUCUCAGAUAUUGUGGCAGAUUAGAAAUCAGCCUGCCUCAACCGUUGUGUCCUUUACUUCAAGGUCUCCCAGGGCAUCUACCCAUGUGAUAAGGCAUGAGAGACCAGUUUUCAGGACGGAAUCCAUGCAUGACACAGCCUGCCUAAACCAGAGGGCAAGGACUGAAAGAUUAGUAAUAUGCGGGAAGAUGAAACAUUAAUUUGAUGGAAAGGGCAAUCAGAGAAACCAAACUGUGAAUUGAUCUGUUUAUAGUUGACUAGAACGGGGGGGGGGGGGGGGAGAGAAAAGAAAAAAGGUGGGCGCUGAUGAAAGACCAUGCUUUUCAGAGUGAACUGCUUUUGAAAUGAAUGUCAGCUCCUUGAUUCGUAUUGAGAGGUAUCCAGAAAUCCUUUACUCGGGAGCCUGAUCAGGUGUGGCAGCUUCUGCAACAAGCAGCUAUGAAGAAGAAACCGCUGACAAGAGUGUGUCUGCGAUGGUCAUUUAUGCUAAGAGUCAAAGUGGAUGUCCUCAUCAAUGAGCAGAUGACAUGUUAAAUAAGUGCUAGGGUCGAAUGACUGGCAGGCAGGAAACAGGGCAUGAACGCGAUUCCAGAUUGCUAGUUUCUAAAUUCAGUCCAGCUUCUUUCAAGCUUCUAUAGCCAACACUUAUUAAGCACUAUGCUGGAGCAGUAGUGGGUUUAUUCUAUGGGCGUAAAAGCAAGGACAAGGCAAACAGACAUGGCACUUCUCUGCCAAGGCGGAGAACGCAGAAUGACACCAGCACUUCCUUCUUCCUCAGCAUCCUCCAAAAACCCAGAGAGGUUGUCUCCCCUCCCCUGUCCCACAAAAACUGCCCAGGCAAUGCAUACCCUCCAACAUUUCUCUGGGCAGCUUCCAACGCAUAUAAAACAUAAUAAAACAUUAAACAUUUAAAAACUUCCCUAUACAGGGCUGCCUUCAGAUGUCUGCUAAAGGUUGUAUAGUUACUUAUCUCCUUGGACAAAUGGCCUGUUUCCUGUGUCUUACUUAUUUACUAUGUCAGCUGGCUACUUUUUUAAAAAAUUGUUUCAAAGCUUUUAAUUAUGACUUGGGGGGAACUUUGGCCCUGUCCUAUAGCAUAACAAUAUCUAAGUAUAUAAGAUAAAUAUAUUUCCUUAAAAGCAAAUUUGAUUAUAAAAAAUUCACAAAUCAGUCAAUGGAUAUUACAAGUUUAGGGCAGAUAUAUUGGGAAGAAACAUAUAAUGUCCAUUCUAAAUAUAUUCUGUGAAUAUAUAUUUGAGCGAGAAUGAUAUAAAAUGUACAGUAUAGGCUAUAAAUUCUAGAACAGGUGUAGCUGGUGUAAAUAUAUUUCCUUAUCUCACUGAUUGGAUUUUGCACCUCCCUGCAAGAUUUCUGUGUAGCAGGAGAGAGAAAGAGGUUAUGUGUACAGAUGGUUAACUGCUGAAAUGCCCAGAAGGUUCAACUCAUCUGCGCUUGUGAAGAUGAGGAGAAUUUUCCACUGACUAAUUCGCAGGUGUUUUGAAAUCUCUGGAUUACAUUCAGGUUUUGCUGUUCUGUUUUGUUUGAUCAAAUGCCUUAGGUUAGAUGUUGAAAAUGUGAAUAUUUUAUUCUUAUUAUUAUUAUGUCCAAGUGGUUAUAAGAGCAUCAGUACUGCUCUCUAGAGAAAAACGGGGUGCAGAGAAACCUUUUGGCAUUUGGACCUCACAGCCAUUACAAACUGAUGCCUUGGGCUUCCACUGUCCCUGGGCUGCCUCUCCUUUUGCAUGACACAUUGCAUCGCCUCAGGUCAACGACUUAGAGCUCGCCUGCCCAUCGUCAUCAUGGUCAUAAUUUGGCAAGCAAUAAUAAUUAUUUUCCGCCUUAUGCUAGGCCUUUCUCUUGCUCUGUCCUGCGCUCUUUUUAGCCUACAACCAGAAUGGCAGCAAAAACGAGCAGGUGUUUAGGAAGCUUGGCUGCUGAAAAGCGAUGCGCAAGUGUCACUCUCCACUAGAGUAGGCUGUGUUGGCACUGCACUCUGGCUGCUAUCCGUCGACAGUGAGCAGGAAGAGGUAACACAAUGCUUCUUUUAAUAACAAGUUUAAUAGUGAGCUGGAUGAGUAAAAUUAAGGGCUACACUCAACAGCACGGCACAAUUAUGGGCUUAUGCAGAUGAUGGGUGAAUCUGUAUCUCAGGUUAUUAUCCUAUGCAUGCUUACAUGAGAUAAAUCCCUGUUUAACUCAGUGGUACUUAUUCUGAGUAGCCAUGCAAAGGUACAAUACUGUAGAACGUCGUCUACCUACAGUGUGUGUGUAUGUAGAUACACCUGUGUUAAGGUUUACACAUUAUUAAAAUCUAGGUAGAUGUAUACUGAAGAAGCGGGGUGUGUGUGUGUGUGUGUGCGUGCACGCACAGUCUUUCUAGAACUAAAUAAGAACCAACCCAGUUGAGAAAUGUUAAUUUGGUUUUCACGUAGAAGCACAACCAUGGUUUUAUAUCUUCAUAUAACUAGGGGCGGAGGAAGGGGGGAGGUGGAGGUGGGGGUGGAGCGCCCUGGGUGUAUUCACUGAGGGGGGUUACAUUCGGCACACUGCCCACCCACGACUCCCAAGCCUACCCUAAGCCAUCGGGGGAAGGGAGGGAGCUGCACCACUUUGCCGGGGGCAUUCCCCGUUUCCCGCUUCAUUUUGACAGCUUGGGGGAGGCUUGGGAGUCAUGGGCAAGUGGCAUGCCAAAUGUCCACCAUUGACGACUUGCUCCACUCCCAUGGGUGACUCACUCUGCCUCCGGCUACAGGGCGCUCACACUGCUCCGUGCGCCCAAGUGGCACCUGAGAGAGCACCCUCCACACCCCGCGCGCCUCAAGAGCACACCUGCCUUGGGCAGCGCAGGCAUAUGCUCUGCUGCAUAUGACAUCUUCGUGUCUGGAAUUUUAUAAAAAGCUUUUCAUCAAAACAUUUAAAUUAGCGCUCCUCCACUGGAAGAGUACAGUGGUACCUCGGGUUAAGGACUUAAUUCGUUCCGGAGGUCCAUACUUAACCUGAAACUGUUCUUAACCUGAAGCACCACUUUAGCUAAUGGGGCCUCCUGCUGCCAUUGCGCCGCCAGAGCCCGAUUUCUGUUCUCAUCCUGAAGCACUAUUUCUGGGUUAGCGGAGUCUGUAACCUGAAGCGUAUGUAACCCGAAGUACCACUGUACAGUGGAUGAAUUCUUAACUUUCAAAAAAUUGUUUCGCAUAACAAUUACUAACAAAAUUUGCUGCUUUUUUGUCUUUCUUUUUAAACAUAAGAUCACCAGAUGUAUAGGAUUGUCUAUCCUAUACAUUUCUACUCAGAAUUAAUUUUAAUUGGGUGUUCCAAACAUAGAAGCAUAGAAGCAUAGAAUUGCAAUGCAGGAAUCUCAACUAAAGUAUCCAUGGCAGAUGGCCAUUCAACCUCUACUUUGAAACCUCCAAGGAAGGCGAGUCAUCUGAACAUGGUUUGCUAUGGGAAUGUGGUAUACAAAUAAACAGUGAGGAUACUGAGAACAUACACAUAUGCUAAUAAUGACUAAAAUAAGGCCCAUUGAUUUCAAUGGGUCUACUCAGAGUAUGAGGCACUUGGAUGCCACCCAUAACUUUCAGUGGGUAUUUAUUCAUUCAUUGCGCACUUACUCAGCCCAAUUACCAACACUUCACAGUACAGUGGUACCGCUAGUUCAAACUUAAUUUGUUCCGGAGGCCCGUUCUUAAUCUGAAAUUGUUCUUAACUAGAGGCAUGCUUUUGCUAAUGGGGCCUCUUUCUGUUCUCAUCCUGGGGCAAAGUUCUCAACUUGAGGUAAUUCUUCCAGGUUAGCGGAGUUUGUAACCUGAGGCGUUUGUAACUCAAGGUACCACUGUAUAAGAUAAAGAGAAGGAGGCUCUGGGGCUCUGUGGGGGUGGGGCAGUGGACUCCCAGAUGGGAAGUUGGGGUUAUAUAAGAAUGAGGUUGGGGCCCUCUGGAAAAGAGGCAUUGGUAACACAGAAAAGUAUCCUGGUCAAUGUCAGUUUCACAGAUUAUAAGACAGUUGGAGGCAGGACCAUGCAUGGAAAUGCUUUUAGGAAUCUCUCUUUUAAUUGUCAUGUUUCAUUGUUAGAAAUGGAAGCUGGGCCCAAAGCCUAAUGAACAGGGGUUCCUGUGUGGAAAGUGAACUGGGAAGGGGCUGCAACUGCUUUGGGGAUUCCGCUUUCCCAUUCUUGUGCAAAUGGUGAGGACAGAGGUCCCCUUCAGUUUCUCAUGAACGCAGCAUCAAACAACUCCGAGCUUCUCAAAACAGCAGCAGCAGAAUCUUAUUUCAGCAAAGAAGGGGGACAAAUAAUGAAAAACAGCUUCCGAAAGGUUGCUCGGCAGUGUGAGAACUUGGCCCUGCAGUUCACAGCAUUCCAGUAAACAGAGUGCCAGAAAAAUAAUAAUUGGGAUAUACUGAGCUGAGGUAAUGCUGGCAAGAAGCUACGAAAGCCUAACAAAAGACCUCUCCCCCUCCCCACCCGCCUGCAAAGAACUGCUCUUCAUUGCUCCUUGUGUUUUCCUGUCAGAAGAGGCUGUGGGGCUUGUUUCCUGGCAACGUGCCCCAGCUCCUUCGCUCCGCUGAGACCCAUCUACCCCUAGGGGGAGCCCAUCGGCUGUCAGCCUCCAGCAAGAACCUGUGUUUAACUAGCUCCUUCUGGGAUGCAGGCGAGCUUUCUGAGAGCACAAUUAGAGCAUCUGUCAGGAGCAGCAGAACCAGUGCGAGGUGGUGAAAGGUUUUGGUGGCUGCUGGAGUCUUUUAGAGCUAAAUCAUUGGGAAGUGCAUAGAGGCCAGUUUGGAUGACCUGUCCCUCUUCCUCACCUAUCUUUUUUUUAUUUUAAAGGGAAGGGGGAGUUGUGUAAAAACCCACGCGAUAAAUCUUUCCUGCCUGUCAGAGAUUUCAAGUAAACAAAAUAAUAGUUCUCAGGAGAGGUUUAUGCUAAAACAUAGAAAUUUCCUCCCCUUUUAAGUCUGCGGGUGUUUAUUGUUUUUUCAAUGUACGUUAGCCAACGCUGCACUUUUUCUUUUUAACAAAAAAACAUCUGAGAGAUUCUAUAGGCAACUUACAGCCUAAAUUUCUGCAACCAGCUUCCCAAGCCUCCACUGAUUCUCCAUUUCUCCCCCCACUUUUCUUUGGAUCAUGUGUUCACCAGCGGGUACUGUGACCAGUGUCGACCUUUUACCUUUGAGAGUUUUGUAAAAGAAGGAAUAUACAGGUGCAGAUUACAAUGCUGCCAUCAACAGAGGUGAACUUUCUGAAAUUCCCUCUUCUGCAGCCCUGGCCUGCAUUGCAUCUGGUCACUGUGCAUACAUCACUGUCCAGCCAGCCAGAUUUGCAUUGCCGCAGAAGCACAGACACAUAGAACAGGUGAUAACUCCCCAAAUUGCCCAGCCUACAAUUUAACUGAGUUACAUUUCUAUGAUUGAACAACAGAGAAGGGGGGCAUAGCAUAGAAGAGGAAAGAAGUGCUUUCCUCGAACAAAACAAGAAUCCUCCAUCUAGGAUGCACUACAUUUAUUUCAGGAUUUAUAAAUUGCUUCCCAACAUAUGUUUUCAAAGUGGUAUACAAGAGAACUACUUAUAUAUAACAUAUAUAAUAAAAAUGAACUAUACAUAACAAUCUAAAAAAAUAUUCGAAGCAUCAAAUUACAAAAUUCUACAUAGCAUACAAUAUAAAAUGGCUGAGUCACUCUUCGGGGAAAGCUCUCUUAGAUAAUUUAUCAACAGCUGCCUAAUGCUGGGUGCUUGUUGAAGUUCAGUUGGAAUCUGAGUCCACAGAUCAGCUAUAUGCAUGUAAGAGGCAGGGCCGGUCCACCCAUGAGGUGGGGUGAAACAGUUGCCUCAGGCGGUGGGAACCCCCAAAGUGGCACCUCCAUGAGCACCCCACCCACCCUGCCACCUCCACCAGUGUCAGAGAAAUGGGGCCAGCAUUGGCGCCAAUUUCCGACAAGUUCUUUUUUCUCCUUUUCCUUUUUAUUAAAGAUUUCCUUGAUUUACAAAA
rnacentral:lncRNA from 1 species